GACGAACGCUGGCGGCGUGCCUAAUACAUGCAAGUCGAACGAGAGCGCCCGGUGCUUGCACUGGUCAAUCUAGUGGCGAACGGGUGAGUAACACGUGGGUAACCUGCCCAUCAGAGGGGGAUAACAUCCGGAAACGGAUGCUAAAACCGCAUAGGUCUUCGAACCGCAUGGUUGGAAGAGGAAAAGAGGCGCAAGCUUCUGCUGAUGGAUGGACCCGCGGUGCAUUAGCUAGUUGGGGAGGUAACGGCUCACCAAGGCCGUGAUGCAUAGCCGACCUGAGAGGGUGAUCGGCCACAUUGGGACUGAGACACGGCCCAAACUCCUACGGGAGGCAGCAGUAGGGAAUCUUCCGCAAUGGACGCAAGUCUGACGGAGCAACGCCGCGUGAGUGAAGAAGGUUUUCGGAUCGUAAAACUCUGUUGUUAGAGAAGAACAAGUGCUAGAGUAACUGUUAGCGCCUUGACGGUAUCUAACCAGAAAGCCACGGCUAACUACGUG
rnacentral:rRNA from 1 species